rnacentral:rRNA from 1 species
UCAGGAUGAACGCUGGCGGCGUGCCUAACACAUGCAAGUCGAACGAAGCAUACGGACUGGAGAUUCGUCGAAGGACCGUAUGACUUAGUGGCGGACGGGUGAGUAAUGUAUGAGCAACCUGCCUUUCAGAGGGGGACAACAGUUGGAAACGACUGCUAAUACCGCGUAACGUAUCGUGGGGGCAUCCUCGUGAUACCAAAGGAGCAAUCCGCUGAAAGAUGGGCUCAUAUCUGAUUAGCUUGUUGGCGGGGUAACGGCCCACCAAGGCGACGAUCAGUAGCCGGACUGAGAGGUUGAACGGCCACAUUGGGACUGAGAUACGGCCCAGACUCCUACGGGAGGCAGCAGUGGGGAAUAUUGGGCAAUGGGCGAAAGCCUACGACCCAGCAACGCCGCGUGAAGGAAGAAGGUCUUCGGAUUGUAACUUCUUUUAUGAGGGACGAAGGACGUGACGGUACCUCAUGAAUAAGCCACGGCUAACUACGUGCCAGCAGCCGC